AUGCUUGCUUCAGCAGCACAUAUACUAAAAUUGGAACAAUACAGAGGAGAUUAGCAUGGCCCCUGCACAAGGAUGACAUGCAAAUUCGUGAAGCGUUCCAUAUUUUU
rnacentral:snRNA from 1 species